rnacentral:misc_RNA from 1 species
GAUGAAGAACGUAGCGAAAUGCGAUAAGUAAUGUGAAUUGCAGAAUCCAGUGAAUCAUCGAAUCUUUGAACGCACAUUGCGCCCGCCAGCAUUCUGGCGGGCAUGCCUGUUCGAGCGUCAUUUCAACCCUCGUCCUCCCUUUGGGGAAGUCGGCGUUGGGGACCGGCAGCACACCGCCGGCCCUGAAAUGGAGUGGCGGCCCGUCCGCGGCGACCUCUGCGUAGUAAUCCAACUCGCACCGGAACCCCGACGCGGCCACGCCGUAAAACACCCAACUUCUGAACGUUGACCUCGAAUCAGGUAGGACUACCCGCUGAACUUAAGCAUAUCAAUAAGCGGAGGA